CGGCGCCCUGGCCGAGCGGGCCAUCGUGCCCGUGCUGCCGACGCGCGAGGAGUUCCCCUACGCGAUCCGUCAGGUGUCCGAGGCCCUCGGCUCCAAC
rnacentral:tRNA from 1 species